UGCAUUCUCUUGCCAAUGGACCAGAGGUAACGAAGCCACUCUUGGAGACAUCUAGAAGAGGGUAUCUUGCUACAAUUUCAGCUUCGAGUUACUCUUUUGUCUCCCUGCUUCGGCACUUUCUUCCAAUAAUGAAUCCAGGUUUCUUUCGAUUCCAUGAAAACAAAACAAUUGCAUGUUCCAUUUGUGUGUAUAUUUCAACUUGAGAUCCUGACAAGAACAUCAUUAUCAAUCCAUCAUUAUAUCUUCUUCUUUACGGACAGAAUAAAGCAAUGCUAGUAGUUAUAAUAAAACCCAAAAUAAAGUUAUCAAACAAUUCCUUUUCUUGUUGGCACAUAGAUUUUAUAUCUCAUCUUCACUUUGUUUUGGAUGUCUCCGUUAAACAUGGCAAGCGGUGCUUCAAUAUCUUUGACAUACAUAGCUUCCGAAAGGGCAAUCCCAGGAUACGGAGGUGGAAUGAGC